ACGGGUGAGUAACGCGUGGGUAACCUGCCUCAUACAGGGGGAUAACAGUUGGAAACGACUGCUAAUACCGCAUAAGCGCACAGUGCUGCAUGGCACAGUGUGAAAAGAUUUAUCAGUAUGAGAUGGACCCGCGUCUGAUUAGCUAGUUGGUGAGGUAAUGGCCCACCAAGGCGACGAUCAGUAGCCGGCUUGAGAGAGUGAACGGCCACAUUGGGACUGAGACACGGCCCAAACUCCUACGGGAGGCAGCAGUGGGGAAUAUUGCACAAUGGGGGAAACCCUGAUGCAGCGACGCCGCGUGAGUGAAGAAGUAUUUCGGUAUGUAAAGCUCUAUCAGCAGGGACGAUAAUGACGGUACCUGACUAAGAAGCCCCGGCUAACUACGUGCCAGCAGCCGCGGUAAUACGUAGGGGGCAAGCGUUAUCCGGAUUUACUGGGUGUAAAGGGAGCGUAGACGGUGAUGUAAGUCAGAUGUGAAAGCCCAGGGCUCAACCCUGGGACUGCAUUUGAAACUAUGUCACUAGAGUGCAGGAGAGGUAAGUGGAAUUCCUAGUGUAGCGGUGAA
rnacentral:rRNA from 1 species